CAAAAAAAAAAGAAAAAUUCAUCUAUCCCCAUCUUCGGCUCUGCGCGACAAUGACGAUUCAGUUUUGCCAUCACCGAAACAGUUGUAAAUAUACAGUGCGAUUUAACAAUAUUCCGGUGAUAUUCUUUAUGAUUGUUCGCUUUUGCUAUUUUAGAUUAUUGUUUUCUCCUUAGAUUCUCCUCCUGAUAUUUUGUUUUUGCUAUGAAUCAAAUUUUGUUUUUGCAAGUGAGUAUCCGUGCUAGCCGGCUCCCAAGGUUCCAGGCUAGGCUCGCCGUCGGGUCAAUGCUCUCCGCCUCCGGUUUUGAUGUGUCACGGUGUGCUCUGAAUUUCCAACUAUCCGAAUCUCCUUUGAUGAUCCGGUUUACUGACUGUUAACGACUUUAUUGAUGGCAUUCAUAGCAAUAAAUAAGCUCCUCAUCCAUCCAUCCAGCUUCCAAGCGUUCCUCACCUACCCCAUACACUAUAUAUAUGAAGAUGAACUCUCCUAGGUGUACUUUGUAAGGUUGAUGGUCUAAUACCAAUAUCUCGAGAAGGAGGAUGAUGACGUGGAUAUCAAAAUUGGCAAAGGCUGUCUGCUUCGUGACAUGAUUGACAUGGAAAGACGGGCAUGAUGAAGCUGCAGCUGCCACGAUGUACUUAAAGGACACACUUAGUCACUUACUACUGAAGAGCAUCAGCAACUAAUCACCAGUCUCUCCAAAGAUAAAAGGAAGAAUUAUAGUGGAAUACACUUACGGUUAGAGAAGUUGGGAAAUAAGCCUGAAGAAAAUGCAACAAAAUAAGUAUCAAUAAGGAAACCAGUCAGAAACCACUACUUUUGGUUGUGUUGAAGUUAGCUUCUUUAUACUGAGAGAAAACGAUGUACACAAUCUAUAGAUAUACAUAUUCGACUUAUUAUUCCAAAGAAAACCAUAGGAAUCAAUGUAAUGACGUGAUCAUAGUCCAUAUUUGCCAUGUUCUGUGCGUUACGUUGGCUCUUCUUCCAGGCUCGGCUAUGCCAUGCCCUUUUUGGAAGACAAAUGCAGGGGAUUGCAAAGCUGUUCUCUGUAAGAAGGUGAAGCAAUAGACAUGUCUCAAGACCACAGACCAAUCUACUUACCGGAAUGAAUAAGAUUGGAAGCAUCGUUGAUGACGGUUACUUAAACGGCAUUGUAUAAGUCACACAAGCUCUCGGCGAUUAGGACAUCACCGAGGGUCACGAUCUCCACUCAUAGCAUAGCCAGAGAUCAAACAUAUACAUUAACAGAGGAAGACGAGAUUAUGAUAAUGAGAUGUGACGGGAUUCUUGACGUUUUGACAAGUUUUAAGUAUCGUUGUCCAAAAAGGAAGGACAGAGCUUGCUUUAGAGGCUUCAAGGCUAAAUACGUUUGUUUUUGAUGUAAUGAAUGAUUUAAUAAUUCUAAAAUUAUAGAUUGUGAGUGGCA